GUAAUUUAAUGAGAUUUGUUUAAAAGUUGGUUUAAACUAAGGCUGGAAAAAUGGUUAGGUCGGGUAGGGUCAUGUAACGGGUCACAACGGCUUUGGUCGGUCAGAAACUGGUCAUUAUAACAGGGGUAUCAGUUUGGGUUGGGUUCAAAUGGCACGUCUUAAAAAAAGGAUUCACAAUAUACUUAGCAGAAUACAAGAAUACUAUUGCAACUAAGACAAUACUGGCAUGUUAGCAUGAUCAGCAGCAUACUAACAAAAACAAAUUCUUCCUACUAGUUUUGAAACCAGAUUAACAGAAGCAGGAACCAUCAAAGAGAAAGAGAGAAGCCACGCGACAGAAAGAAUGCAUAAGAAGAAAGGGAACUGAUUCCAUGGUGGUGUAGUGUUGAAUGUGAGUAAGAUGAAAUAAAAGGUUAUUUGAUUGUGUAUUGGUUUGAGUUGGGGUGGUUUGAGAAUUCCGAUCUAGGGUUCCGCCGCCGACCUAACAAGAGGAUUAUUGAUAAGAUCAAGGAGAAAAUUCACGGCGAAGAUAGCGGAAGCAAGGAAGACUGCUGUGAAGGUGAAAGAAAUAGAAGAAAUAGAAGAAGAGAAGGAAGGUCACCACGACGAUGGCGAUUGAAGUAGUAGCAGCGACAUCUGUUAGAUCUCAACUGUCGCUCAACUGUUUUCCACUAACAACAUUGAUCUAAGCAUUUCAUCUAUUUCAUCUAUGUGGUUUAUGAGGAGUUUAGGGUUUAGUGUAUAUUCUAUUUUGAUGUGUUGUUAUUAUACAAUGCGUGUGGAUUGAGGUUUUAAAUUGGGUUUUCUGUAUACAUACAUAGACAUGGGUAAAAGUAAGAAAUUUUCAUGUGGUUUGUGUAUAUGACUUUAUGGAGUUGAUAACUUUUAAAAUCAACCAAUGGCCAUCCAUAAUGGUUAAAGAAGGUGAUAAAUUGUUGCUUUGUUGGAGUUCAUUUGAAGAAUUGAGUCGUUGCAUUGGUUAGAGAUGGUUGCUUAAUUGAAAGGUUAGACACAAUGCUUGUCGUGGAUAUCCCUAUCAUGUGUUAGUUUCCUUUUCUUCAACCCAACAUUAUCGUUCAUCCACUCCACACAUCCCAACAUCAUUUGCAGCUCAAAAUACUAAUGGCACUUGCAGGUACAGCCCACAAAUGCACGACAUGUGACAAGCAUAUCUACUUGGUGGACAAACUCAUUGCUGUAAUUAUGUCUUCUGCAAAGCUUGCUUGAGAUGCCACCAUUGCAGUGACACACUCGAGCUCAGUAACUACAUCUCCUUUGAGGAUGCUCUUUGUUGCAGGCCACACUUUAAUCAGUUGUUCAAGAAAAAGAAUAGUGGUAGCUUAGACAAGAGCACACUUCAAGUCAUAGUUGAAUGCAACUGCAAAAAAAGAGCAACAAGUGCUGUGGCAGAUGCUAAGUCGGGGAAGCAGGCUGCAACUCCUGAUCCCAAGAAAAAGAAGGGAAAGUGAUUACAAUCUCUGUUUGAUUCAGUUCGAUUUCAUUUUAUGCUUUUAUUUAUUCUAUAAUAAAUAUAGUGGCGUCUUGUAAGUGCAUCCAAAUGAGUCGAUGCUGCCACAGUUGUUUUAAUAUAGAUGUUGCAAUAACUCAAGUUGUCGGCCAGCUUGACAGCUUGACCAACGUUGAUUCUAAAGCCUAUAUUUAAGGUUAUUUUUUGGGAAAACAUUUGUCGUCUGGAUUGUUUAGGUUUAGCGUUAUGCAUACGUGGAAAAAAACA